rnacentral:lncRNA from 1 species
GCUGUGAGCUCACGUGAGCCCUUGGCAGCUGCUGGCUCCCUUGCCCUUCAGCGGCAGGGGCUGUGCAUCCCUGGCCGGGAGGUACACGAAGCUGGGAGGAGGUAGCUGCAGUGAACCCAGAUUCAUUCCUGCUGCCCCCAUCAACAACAUGCCCUCUGCUCCUGUGCACGAGACGGGGUGUAUAUCCAUGGAGGAUCAGCGGGCAGGGGAGGGGAGCAGCAGUGGAGAGUCACAUGCACAGCAGAAAAACACGAAUCUCAGCAAAGCCUGACACCGGAAUCACUGAAAGGGAAUCGAGCCCCUUUCUCCCUUCUGGCUGGGAGCACCUGACAAACGAAGGAGCUGCUCCAGCAAGGAAAAGCAUCCGUGUCCAUCCCACAGCCCUGACAGCAUCAGCCCUGAUUGCUCAUCUGUUUCAAAGUACAACCAAGUCAUUUCGCUGGUGGGCAGAGAAGUCAGGGACACUCUGCAUCCAGCACCCUGCAGCAGAGGAAGCAUUAGUACAGCUGCUGUUAGCCUUGUUAUUUUCUUCUAAUAAAAAGGUGGUCAUGACUCACUCCAUUAAGAAACAAAAGCAGAGCUGUAAUCUACUGAAAGGCAGUUGUUUGGAUGCUCAGCAUUAGGUGUGUAAAAGAAGGAAGGUCAGCUGCCGGUCAGGUCAGUGAUAUAUACACCCCACUGCCAGUACAGGCCAAACUGCAGGUAUUCCCCUGAGAGUUUAUUUUCUGGGCUGGUAUGAUUUGCCCUCUCCUCCAGCCUAGCACUUCAGCCAGGAGUUGGGGGGACAAAAAGCUCUUUCCCACCCCUUCACAUUUCACUUGGGUUUCCUGAGAGGAAAUGAUGCUCUCCUGCGGCUGCAUUGGCCCCCUCCUUCCUCCCAGGAGGGGAGCAUGCUAGCAUCUGCCUACAGUCCCUCUUCCCCUCUCUGUGCCGCACUGGGACCAGUUCUCCAGCUGGGCUGUUACUGGGGGCCAAGCCCCGAGGGAGCCAGGCUACUUCUCAGGGAGGAAGAAGCGGCUCCUAAAGCUGGGGGCUGGGAGGCAGGAAAGGCAGGUUGUGUCCAGGCGAUGCGGAGGUUUCCUGUGUGAGCGGGAACAAGUCACUGUGCCCCUGCCUGUGCUAGAUUCCCCACCUAGUGAAAAAUAAAGGGGAAGACUUGGCCCGCGCAUGGGAUGAUGUGAAGGUUUUCGGUACAGCUGUGGCAAUGCUCGUGGUGGAGAUCCAGUUCUGGCAGGGACUGUGCUGGCACAUGGGGACGUCUAACCCAGCCAUGCAGCUCUGGCAAUGCCCAGCUGCCUCCCCGGGCGGUGCAGAAGCAGGGAAGGAGCUGGGCUGCCAUGACGGCGGUGGCCAGCUGAAGACAAACACCCACGCUAAGACACUCAGCGAACAUCUGCCCCUACCCACAAGCUACUCCUAUUUUUGUUCCGUCUCGUACCCUGACUGACUCAGAGGAGGGGAGCCAGGUUGGAAGGAGCCCGCCAGGGGCUGCAGAGGGGUUCAAAGAGGAAGAGGAGGAAGAGGUGCUUCAAAACCAGUAGCUGCCAUUCUUUCAAUCAGCUUGAACAUUUUCCUCGCAGUGUCUCGUUCAUGCUUCUGUUUCAGCUGCAGGCAAUCCGUGGCAGGGAUGGCACUUCCUGCCUGCUAUUGAGGUGAACAUACUUUCAGGGCACCAUCAGAAUAAAUGACACCCUGCUCUUAGACAGCUCCACUGUAAUCUGUCCGGGCUGUAAUGAGCUUGGCUGAAGCUCAUCCUUUUGCCUAACUUCUUCCAGGAAUUUCCAGUUCUCAUUUUGGUCACUUUGCAAAACUUAUCUACAAGGAAAGGGCAAGUGCCAAAUUUCCUAAUUCCUGUGCGUCUUGUUGUCGUCGUGAGUUCUGGACACUGGCACAGACUGAGCUUUGUAGUGUAACUCUCGCAGGACCUUGAGGCACAGUCUUACAGCUUAGAAGUCUUCUGCAAGGAAAGGGACACAAGACGUCCCCCCAAAAGAGCCAUGGCAGCAAUUUUUCUGUUGCAGGGAUGCUCCCAUCCGUGACACCCUCCUCUCCAGAGCAUUCAUUAAUUCUGCAGAAAUAGCACCUCUUGUUUUGUCCCAAGUUACUGAUCGUUUGCUCCUUUGCUGCGAGGCUGUGGGCCAGGUACCCACAUCCUCGGGGAUGAUCCCCAGGCAGUCCACGCCUGUCACUCGGCCGAUGCAAACUGCGGCCCGGGGAGGUGACCCGGCUCCUGCCGAGGGGAUCUAGGAGCAGGCAGCCCCUGUCCCCUGGGUGGCAGUACCCUGGCAGGCAGCCCUGCCCGCGCUCAGGCUUUGCCGGGGGUGAGGGCGUACACAGCGAGGGGGGGAUUAAUGGGAACUGAAACCCCCUUUGCAACCUGGCGUGUGAAACCUGCCCCAGCGCUGCACCCCCGCCCCCGGCGCGCUUCCCGGCUCUCCUCGCUGGCUGGGGGGGGCGCGGUGAUGCUGGGAUGAGCCUCAGGCCGAUGACUGGAGAAUUUUUGCGGCGUUUUUCAGCUUCCUCUGCCUCCGAGCCUGACUAACGCUGCCUGCGCGGCCGCGGCCCCCGCCCGCUGCCGGGGAGGGAGGGGAUCCCCGCCAGGGGGCGGGGCGCCGGCCGGCGCGGGGCGGGGGAUGCCCAUGUUUGGAAGGCGGGCGCGUCACUCCCCUUAUAUGGGCAGUGUCGUCAGGGCCCGGCCUCCCAUUCAUAUAAAUGCCCGGUGGCGGCGGCCGGGAUUCCCUGCCUGGGCUCGCCGCGGUGCCUCCGUCCCUCUCGCGCCGCCGCCGGCCGAGCCCCCGCGGCUCCGCGCUACCCCCGGCAUCCCCGGCGGGCGCCUUCCUGCCGCUCUUCCCGCUCCUGCCCCGGCUGCGGCU